UCGUGCUAGACGGGGAGUUAGCGGUGCCCUGAACCCGCAAUCCGCUUCAGCGGGGUCGAACUCCUCCCCGAGGGGGCGCCGUCUGGGACUGACCGGCCGUGCUGGUAUUGAGGGCUGGGCCCUGCGCGGCGGGGCCCUGCAAACCCGGUCAGGUCCGGAAGGAAGCAGCCGUAAGCAGCCAGCCCCGGGUGCCGCAGGUCCGCCUGGCCUGAGCCAGCCUGCCGGGAUAAGCCAGGAGGCGCCGUCGAAGGGAGGUGCACGA
rnacentral:SRP_RNA from 1 species